rnacentral:tRNA from 1 species
UUAUAAAGAAGUAUUACAGUACGUGGGGCUUUGAUCCCCAAAGAAGAAGUUAAAGCUUUUCUUUAUAAU